rnacentral:ncRNA from 1 species
GAUAGAGGUGCGGGUUUUAUCAGUACCCGGAAACGGACGCAGUAUGCGUCAGGCCAUGGCAGGCUGUUUCCGGUGAAAGGAAAAACCGCCGAAGGGUUUUCACCGCCAGAAGGCGAGACCCUGGGACGCAGGAGAAUAUUUUGCGUACUGUCACAGAUGUGGAGCGCUAUCAG